UAAGGGCAUGAAGGUGUUAACAGAAGGGAUACUUUCCUUAAGAAUUAAGGAGACUAGAGCAUGAUAUAGCUGCCUACUGCAACAUUGGAGUGAAUAUCAAGAAAGAAACUCCAAUGCUGGA